rnacentral:lncRNA from 1 species
UUCAGAGCCUUCGGCACCGGCGGAGGCACGGGAUCGCGGCAAGGGGAUCGCUUAGCUAGCUAGCGAGGAGCGGUACUUUGCCUAGGUGGUUUACUCUUUCUUUUGUAGUUGAGAGAGUGAGAGGUUUUUGUAUCCAUGUAUAGAGACCACCUAUGUAUCUACCUAUAGCACUUGUAUCUGGGAUUUUCUUGUAUCACUUUAUGAUUUAUUUAGUGAAUUUACAGUUUUAUCCUUAUCCCUUAUUGUAGCAUUUAGACAUUUAUUAUGCUCUGAUACUCCUAAAUGUCUUUUAUUAUUGCUUUUAUUAUUGUUGUUUUUAAACGCCUUAUAUGUUUUAGACGUAUGGCGGGUCUGGGCACGUGCCGGGCGGGCUUCCGCUGGGUCCCGGGGCUUGACAGGACGUGUCGGUCUCCUAUACACUGGAGUGAUGUAGGUGAGCGUACAGAGUUCGACCCCGAUGUCCUGCGAGAAGCAGAGGAGAAAGUCCGUCUUGCUCGCAAGAGGUUGCUCACGGCGCAGUCGAGACAGCAAAGCUAUGCAGAUAGGCGGCGUCGAGAUAUAGAAUUCGCGGUAGGUGACCGCGUAUUCUUGAAAGUUUCACCGAUGCGGGGUGUGAAGCGGUUUGGAGUGCGGGAAAAACUAAGCCCCCGAUACAUUGGACCAUAUGAGAUAUUGGAGCGAGUCGGCACGGUGGCCUACCGACUUGCUUUACCGCCGAAGCUUGCGGAUGUACACAAUGUGUUCCAUGUCUCCAAUCUCCGCAAGUAUAUUCACGACCCCGAGCAUGCAAUGCUAUAUGAACCGCCGGAACUUCAAGGAGACUUGAGCUAUGAAGAGUUUCCGGUAGGGAUUAUCGCCCGAGAGGUGCAAAAGUUAAGGAAUCGAGAAAUUCCCUAUGUGAAGGUCAGGUGGAGCACUCACGAGGAUCGCGAAGCCACCUGGGAACUCGAGGAUCUGAUGAGAAAACACCACCCUCAUCUGUUUGAGGAAUAAGGUAAGAAUUUAAGUUAAAGUUAAGAAUCGAGUUCGUUUCGAGGACGAAACUCUUUUUAAGGAGAGGAGGAUGUAAGGACGUGAAUUCUCGAAAUCCGAGGAUUGUACUUCAUUCAGGAUCAACUAAUUGUCGAGAGAAUAUCCUUUGUGGGAGUUGAAAAUGUCCAAAACACAAAAAGUGCUUUGGAGUUGAGUCCGCGAGAGCAAAUGGUGCAAAUUGCAUCAUUGGGCUGAUGAUACUCUCGGGGACCGGUCUCUGGAGGUGAGAAACCGGUUCCACUGGCUGGUCGUAGCGGGGUUGCUUGAUGCAACCGGUCCCUGGUAGGGAGGGACCGGUUCCCGAACGUGGUUCCAGCAAGAAAUGCCGAAAUUUGGCUAAGUCCUGAAAAUCGAGCUCUCGGGGACCAGUCUUUCAGGUGAGGACCGGUCUCCGGGGAAGAGACCGGUUCCCGAACGCGUGCGCCCGAGGGAGGCCCUCAGGAAUCGGUCCCAAGUCGGGGAGACCGGUCCCUCCGCACGAAAUCUGCCCAGUAAGAGCAGUGUAUAGGAUUAAAAGUUGAGGGAUUUUUAUGCAAAAUGGCAUUAGUUAGGGAGGGGAUUAGAGGGGCUGAGCCCUCUUCCUCUCUCACCCUCACUCAUACUUUCUCCCUCUCUUAUUCUCUCUUGCUCUUUCUCUCUCUCUAGAAAAGAAAGGAGAAGAAGAAGAACAAGAAGGAGAGGAAGGAAAAGAAGGAGAAGAACAAGAAGGAGAAGAAGAAGGAGAUCAAGAGGAAGGCUUUGGACACCUUCAUCUUCCUCUCCUCUUCUCUUUAGUGUAGCACAAGAGGUAGGCUCUUGAACCCUAGCUUCUAGAAUUUAGGGUUUUGGGUUUUUAUGCCUUGGAAUGGGUCAAAUGGACCCUAAGCAUGCUUCUAAAUAGAUCAAUCCCAAGAAUCUAGAAAUUUAUUGAAUGGUUUGCUAUGGGUGCAAACUUAGGGCUCCAAAAUGGGGUUUUUGUGAAAGUAUGAGAUUGAUCUCAUUUGAAGCCUUGGAAACCCUAUUGUUAGGUCACAAAACGUGGGGGCGAAGUCGGUUUUAGCAUUCGACGAGCCGGCGUGAAGUUCUCGGCAAAAUAGGGCCGGGUUAGCAUCGACUUGGGCAAGGAAGGCUAAAGCCUUUUCGUGAAGUUCGCCGAGGAGCGUUUCCAAAGCCUCUACAUUGAUAAAAGGUGGGGGGUGCCAUCUCGAAGCUUUCGAACUCCUUUCUAUAUCUUAGAUUGCAUUUAAUCUCAUCUCUUACAUGUUGCAUUGUAGGAUUGCAUAGUAGCUCCCUUCCUUAUGCUUUCUAAAUGAUAACCUAGUGUACUUGGAACGCUUGGUGACUUAGAUAGGUGAGGAUUGGGUCGGAACAUGGAUUCUAUGAUGCGAAAGAAAAGAGAUGAACCCGAUGGGGGAUGUUGAUGACAUAGAAAGUAGUGUUAAUGUCAAAGAACAAACGAGUGGCAUCUAAACGCUAAAUGAUGACGAGUGGCAUUAAUGUAGUGUAAAUGACACUAGAGGUUUGAGAACCUAGGGAUAGGUGGAUCCCUUAGAAAAUGCCCUGUGGACAAGAACUUAGUAAACCUAAGUAGCCUCACAUGGAGAGGUUGGCGAUGAGUCGAUUGAGACAUUGACCCUAGUGGUAGGGCAUCCUCACUUGGAGAGGAUUUGAUUGGGUUGUGGACCCUAGUGAUAGUGCUUCCUCACUUGGAGAGGAUUCGAUUAGAUUAUUGACUCUAGUUGUAGAGCAUUCUCACUUGGAGAGGACUUGAUUGAGUUGUUGACCCUAGAUGUAGGGCAUCCUCACUUGGAGAUGAUAGAUCUAGCUCACAGUCUGCGUUUGGGAUGGUAUAGCCAUCCAAUCCCCACAUGGAGGGGAUUGUCGUCGAGUACUCCGGAGUGUCGCGCGACUAGGACCACUUGGAGGUCCGGACCACAUGGAGGUCCGCAGACGGUCCCGGGCUUGGGUGCACUUGGAGCUCCCUCCCCACUUUGGGAUUGAAAGGUGAGUUAUAGGCGAACCCUAGGGCUUCGCCACAAAUUAGGUAAAUGAAAAGGUAAAGGUUUAAUAAUGUCAUUGAACAUUGCUAUUCGAACAUGGAUCGAAUUUGUUAGCAUGGUAGCAAACCUUUAUUAAAUGAUGCAUGCAUUCAUAUUCUUGAUUAUGGGCAUAGUAGCAUAGUUUUCCUACUAUCGCAUUUACAGUUUUCAGAUACAUAUCUAUCUAUCUAUCUGUUGUUACUUGUGCCUACUUGGACCUAGUGGGGAGAUCGGCAGAGUCGGCGGCCGAGCCCACUGGGAACUAUGGAAGAUAGUUCUCACCCUACUCUAUUUCCAGUGGUAGGUACAGGGCUGCCGAGAGAGGACCGCGGCAAAGGCAUCGCGCCCGAUCAGUGAGACCGUGGUAGUAUAGUAGCUUUCCUUUUUGCAUUAGUACACCUAUGUAUUGAGAGAGAUUCAUUGUAGGUGAGGACUUGGAGAGCUAUGUAUUUUAGAGAUGAAAAAUGUAUUCAUUUAAAGAAAAUGAUGUAAAUGAAAAUGAUGGAACUAUUGUAAUAGUUAGUAAAGUACUCUCUUUAUUUCACAUGUGUACCUUGUGGAUUGCUUGCUCUUUGUAUUGUUGGCACUGUUUGUACCCUUGCGGAUGUGUAUGUUUAGAAUUUAAAUUCCCGGGUAAAUUCUUGUACACAUUCCCGUUGUUGAGCCUUGGGCGGACAUGGGAGGUGCUGUAUGUUCGGCGGUCCGCUCGCCGCGCCCGAAUCGUGCCAAAUUGGUAGUGGUUUCGGGGCGGGACCUGACAGUAAUAGUCACUAGCAACCCAUCGGUCUAGUUCUAUGUCUCAAAGUGAAGUUUCAACAUUCACUAAAUUUAAUGCCUCUUUAUGACAUUAGAACAUUACUAUAUCCAAGCAUAUUCCAAAUUCGAUGCCUCUUUAUGGCAUUAUUAGUAGGAUCAUACAUAACUCAAGCUCAAUGUCGCCUUAUGACAUUAGCUCACUAAUUCACACAUCAUUCAAGUCUAAUGCCUAAACCCAACAUGAAUAAUUCUCUACUACAUAGAGGUUCAAAUAUACUUUGUAUAUAACAUGUGCAUUCUAGGCAUUCUAAAAUUCACAAAUAUUACAUCUAGUAUGAAUAUGCAUAAAAUUUUAUUUUACGACAAGUAUAAUCAUCAUAUGAGAAUUUUUAUCUCAUUUUGGUGAGGCCAAACCCACCAAGUCUCAUCGAAAUCCUUUGCUUGCGCAAAAGGAGUUGUCCACUAUUCUCCUAGCACCCUAAAGGUAAUAAAAGGAGAGUUAAACAAACAUUACGAACAUCCCUAUGGUCGAUUAUUAACUAUAACGUAUCGAAACCUCGAUAGCGAUUAUCGAACUUUAGCCAAAUUGGUUAAAGUGCCGAGAGAAAUGGAUAGACAAAGUCCGGUUGACAUUCCAACAAUGUUGGAAGGGUCAAAGUCGAGUCCCGAGAGUGUUAAGCAAGUUUUAGCAUUGCUCGGCGUGAUUUAAAAGUGAACAAUGCGAAAGAAAUAGUUGGGUAUGUUCCAUUAAGCGUUCCAACAAUAUUGGAAGGGUUAAAAAGGAGUUCUAAAAGAGUUAAAAGGGUCUUAGCAUCAAAUGGCGCGAAAUAGAAUAAAAAACGGCGCAAAAUCAGCAUUCUGGGCAAAGUGUACCGGUACAACCAUCGAGUUGUCACCGGUACAACCCUGCAGACCGAGAAGAGCUUGCUCUCGGGUUUGAGAGAAAAAUCGAAAGUGUACCGAUACACUUUAAAAGUGUACCGGUACAAAUCCUGCGUAACCGAGAAACAUGCUUUCGGGUUGGCCUCUGCGCAAUCGUGUAUUGGUACAAAUCCAAUGUGUACCGGUACACUUUGGUCUGGCAGCACCAAUUUGGUCUGCUGCAAAUAAAAAGAAAUGGGGGGCCUAGAUGCAAUUGUAGUACCUUAUAAAACACCCCAACACCUCUCUCUCCCUCUCCCACAGCAAACACACACCUCUUCUCUCAUUUCUCUCUUUCUCUUUCUUAAGAUCACUUCCAAGAGCCAGGAGGUGAAGGAGGAGAAGGCUUUGGAGGGAUUUUUGGUGGUUUUGAAGGCUUGAGAUCUCUCCUACAAGGUGGACAUUGGAGAGCUUUGGGCUAAGGUGAGGUGUUUUGUAACAAUAGGUCUAGGGUUUGGUUAUAUGCCCUAGAAAACUAGGUUUUGUUCUUCUCUCAUGUAUAGAAACCUAGUAAUGGCUUAGAACACAUGAAAACCCUAGUUUUCUUCAUGUGCUCUAAUGGUGAAUUCCUAGGGUUUGCUUAUUAUGCCCUAGAAAUGAUUUAGAUAGUUCUAAAUGAGCUUCUAGAUGUUGAACAAGCUCUCUUUUGCUUGUUUUAGAGAUCAAAAUCUAGAUUUGAGCAAAUGGUGUUGUUAGGGCACCAAAUUUAGAGCUUUUGCCCUAGGGAGUUUCUAAGGCAAAUUAACCUUGUACAAAACCUAAUUGGGGGUAUUCCCGACACGUUGUGCAACUCGGUUUGACGUUACGAAAAGCCUAUGUAGGAGUUCUAAGUAUUAAGCCUAAUUUGGCUUCGUUUUGCCGCAGGCGAUAAAGUAGAGCUUCAAAAAUUCCAAGAAAUUCACCGUAGCACCUUUGCAACCAUACAAGGUGGGUGAUGCAUACCAAGGACCUCGGAAUUCCUUUUAUAUCUAAAGUGUCAUAUUUAAGCAUAUGUAUGUAUUGAGCAUAUUGCAUAGUAGGGGUAAUUGUGAGCUUCUUAUCGCAUGUUGUUGGUUCAAAUACAUGUGAAAUGCUAAUGAGACAAUGAGAAUUUAUAAACCCUAUGUAUGCAUGAUAAGUGACAAGAACCUAGCGGACUUAGUAAACAAAUAUGACAUGUGGAUAUGAGUCGUAGAGAGUGGCAUCUACUAGUCUUGAACACUUAGAGAACAAGUGUGGCAUCAUUAUAUGAGUACAAAGAUCAAGCAGUGUAUAUGACACUAGUAAAGGUUAACGAAUGCAAGUAUACAAAGGUAGCGACAUUAUGACAUAGCAACCUUAGAGUUAAGGGUCAUAUGUGUAUUACUUUCUUAUAGUUAAGGAAUGGAUUGAAGUUGACAUUCUUAUAGUUAAGGAUUGGAUCAUACUCACCUGUAAGUCCUUACUCGAGGGUGGUAGCUCCCCUUCGAGCGAUGUGCUCCGGAGUUGUCAUCACUGGAUCGUAGCGAGUAUCUCCCCAGAGGACAGUCCCGUCGGGUUGUAGCGGGUAUCUCCCCGAUAGUAGGGAUUUGGUUGGUGAGUUGUUGAGGGCGAAACCUACGGGUUAGCCAAGAGAUUGGGCAAUGAGAUUGUGAUCUUGCAUUCAUCAUCAGCAUACUAUUGAGCAUUGCAUUGAUUAUUGUUCAGGCAUAUUAGCUGCAUUUGUAUAGUUUGGUUACUAUCUAUAUCUCUUUUCUUCUAUUAUGUCUGAUUUAGACCUAGUGGGAAAGUCGGCGUGGUUGGUUGCCGAACCCACUUGAAACUUUGUUGUAGUUCUCACACCCCAUUUUUCACAGAGCCGGGACCGAGCGAGCUGGCAGACGAUCGCGGUAAGAGUAUUGCGCCCUAGACAGAGACCGCCCGAGAUACUUUACAUUUUGUAGUUGCAUACCCCUUUUAUAUAUAUCAUCUUUUGUACUUGGACGAUGAUUAGGGAUGUUAGAGCAAAUGUAUUAAAGAUACUUUACGAUGUUAAAUGUAAAGGUUUAUUUUGGAGAUUUGAGAUGUACAAAAGAAAUGAUGCAAAGACUGUAAAAGAACUUCGAAGUUGAAUGCAUAUAUGUGAUUUAAAUUUAAUCAUAGUGCUUGUAUGUUGAUUAGUUAGCACUUUCACUUUGGCUAUUGCUUGCCCUCGUGCAAGCCAUUAUGUAUGCUUCCGCAAGUACAAAUUUUAUACUCUAUCUGUACCUGUUGUUGAGCCUUGGGCGGACAGGGGAGGCUCUGUCCGUUCAGCGUCUGUUCGACGCACUCGAACCGGCCAAAAGGAUCGGGCUCGGGGCGUAACAUUAACCAUCUCAAGAAAAGGGACAAAACUCACCUAUAGAGUGGAAAGCCCUUCUCGAACUCCAAAUGGGAGCUAGAACCCUUCGAAUCCAACCUAGAGGAAGGUUCUAAUCCAAACAAUUGAGCUCCAAAAGCCCUAAAUCAAAAAUUCCCAAAUUAGACCCUAAUUCCUCAUUUCUAGGGUUUCUACACAAAAACCAUGAAAAUCAUGAUCUAUAGGGGAAAAGUAUGCAACUAACCUCUUUAGAUGCUCCAAAAGACCUAAGAAACCAGCUAGGGUUGAAGAUCUUCCCUCUACCAAGCUUCAAACACGAACUCAAGGCUUCUCCAAUGGUGGAAGUUGCACCAAGAAGCAAAAAGAGAAGAUUUAGCCACCAAAAUCCAAGCAAAAAGAGGAAAAAAUCAAAGAAAAUGGAGAGCGAGCUCACCUCUCCUUCUUUCCUGUUGCAACACAAGAGCCCCAUCCAAGAGGUGUGGGGGAAUAUAUAGUGUUGCUACAAUUACAAAGAAAUCCCUCAAAAACUGUCAGACUGCAGUUUGCAAAGUGUAUCGGUACACAAAAAAGUGUACAGGUACAAAUCCAUAAUACGCGCGAACCCAAGGCUCGGGUUAGGAGAAACAGCAAUGUGUACCAGUACAAAUCGAAUGUUGUACCGGUACAACCUCUUGUUCCGGUACAACUUCAAUGUCGUACCGGUACAACACCCUACAGACCCCAACCCGAGAGCGGCCUAAGUUCUUCUCUUUGGAGACCUUAGGGCUAAGUCAAAAAUCUCGUUUCUCAGGAUGCGAGCCAUAGGUCGGUACACUGUCAACGACUCUCCAGAAUAGCUAGAAAAACUCGAAACAUAGGUCAAACACUCGAACCUCACAAUUUGCAAAGGUCCAGUGUGUUACACGCCUUAUAUGUGUAGGCAUAUGGCAGGUCUGGACACGCACCGGGCGGGCCUCUGCCGGGUCCCGGAGGGUGACAGUGUUGGCCGCGGCUUUUCCUCCGUCGUCAUCGUCGCCUUAGCUGGCCGUCGCCCUCUUGGGUCCUUUCUCAUCCACCUCGACCGCUCUUGGCCGGUGUCUACCUUUCUUGGCCGCCAAAGCCCGAGAGAAAGGAGACCAACCUUGGACUACCCAAGCUAAGGCUCGCUAUUGACCAACUAUACUAUUCCGGUCAUUCUCGCGAAAUGCCAUAAUGAGAUGCUUCACAUUGUGGUCAUCCCAAACAACGUGAUUUCAGUUUUGGAGUAUCCAUACAUGCUGUAUAAAGCCCGGGAAUAUCUUGGCUCGAAGCUCGUAGCGAUCGACAAGUGAAACGGUGCCCGUACACAUGUUCUAGUAUGCUUUUGGCCGUGUUUUCGCAAAGUAGGUGAUCGUUGUUGAUCACAAUGAUUGGUGGGCAUUAUUUGCUAGUUGGGGACUCAUUGUUGUGAAGCUCAGGCAAUCGAGUGACCAUAGACGGGUUCCGGAGCCAAAACAACACCUUUUUGGAACUGUAACAUACCAGAUUUUGGUAUAAAAAUAAAAAUAAAUAAAAAUAGUAUGAGAAACUAUUUUUAUUGGAUUUAUAGAAGCAAAACAUAAGUCAGAAGUGACUUGUGCUGAAAUCGGAAUGAAAACAGAAGAUUUAGAAUUUUCUGUUGAAAACGGGACAGAUAAAUUAGCAGAAAAUACACAGUCUCAGAAAAUUAUGAAAAUUGGAGGAUAAGUCAGAAAUAUUUUUAUGAGGCUAGAUUUAAAGUUUCAUAUUUUUCUGACACCCGAAAGGUGGAAAAUAAAAUCCGACAAGUUAUCUGAUAAAGAUUACAGUUCGGUACAGUUUUCGGUGACCAAAUGGGGUCGAAACUGAAAACUUAAGAUAUAUUCUUACUCAGUACGUUAAACUGAGACUGUCUGUCAAAUUUGAGCUCAAACGGACACUCAGAAGGGCCCCAACUGUUCCGAACUGCUAAACUGCCCUCGAGUGAAUAGUGUUGGAGGGUGUUAAUUAUAUAAGAAGCCUUUGCUUCUUCUCCUCCAGCCGACCACACACAUGCGCCACACCCACACACACGCAUGGAAAGGGAAAGAGAGAACCCACCCUUUCUCUCUCUAGAUCUCUCCCAAAAUUGAAGGUUUUGGUGGAGAAGCAAGCUUGGAAGUUGAUCUUCAUCUUCUUCGUCUUCUUCUUCUCCCUUGGAGCUAGCUUAAGAGAUAAGCUUUGAUGCCCUUUAAUGGUAGAAUUGUAGGGCUUCAAUUAUAUGCUCUAAGAAUGAAUUUAGUGGAACUCCUAGAUGCUAAAUAGAGGAUUAAUGCUUGAAUCAUGAAGCUAUAUGAUGAUUUCUUGCAUAGUUACAACCUAGGGCUCCAAAAUGCAAUUUUUGCUAAUAGAUGGGUUUGAUCUAUUUUGACCCUAUGUAAACCUAAUUGCUAGGUAAACGAACGCGUUGGCGAAGUCAGUUCGGCGAUUCGUCGAGCCGUUGCGAAGUUAUUAAAGAAACGGACGUUUAGGCUUCGUUUCUGCCUGGAGGGCCGAGGCGACAUCGUAAACUCAUGAAAAUGGAUUUGAAGCACUGUGGCACAUAACCGAAGACCUUUAAUUUUCGGAUCAUGGAUUGGAGGCCGUUCGGGUGGUCGCGCGAGCGAUCGGGCCAAACCGGGUGCCAGGUGCCGCGGUAGGCCGAUUGCAAGUGUCGACAAGCAAUCGGAAUGCGAAAUGAGGUGGGUUGUGCUUACCGAAGCGACUAGGUCGCCUGUAUGUCUAAGUAAAGUGAAUUCGUGUUGAUGCAUAUAAAUGCUAGAUGGAUGCAUGUAGUAAAUGCUAAAGAAAAUGCAUGCUAAAGAUGUAAUAUAAAUGAUGCUAGUUAAAAACAUGAGAUAAAUGACAUUUGCAUGUUAACAAAAAGUAGAGAACAUGCUACUUGUAAAGUAUAAUGAUAAGUUGUAAAGGAUGCUAAAUAAAUGCAUGAAUGAUGUGGUAUAGAAAUGCUAGAAUAUAUGCAUUGGUUAAUGUUAGUUGGAUGCAUGUCAUGGAAAUGCUAAAUGUAAGCAUGUGGCUAAUACUAAGAUAUACUUGAUAAUCAUGUUAUAGAGAUACUAAUAUUAAGAAAAGGAUAUGGGCAUGUGGACAUAUAUAUAUAUGCACAUAGAUCGAGUGGCAUUAAACCUAGAGUCAUGGAUAUAGGUUGAAUAUGGAUGAUAUGAACCUAGUGUCAAAGAACAUAGGUUGGACAUCAAGUGGCAUUAAACCUAGUGUCUUGAACAUAGGUUGAACAAGUAUAGUGUGAACCUAGUGUCAUGAACCUAGCAAAUACUUAUGGUAUUUGAGCAUACAUAUUUUGUAUCAUUCAUGCUUGAUAGGACUAAGUACAUGUGAACCUUGGUUGCUUUCAAUGACAUGUUCUAACGUAGUUGAACAUAGAGAAUGGUAGAACCAUAAUGGAUAUGUAUGUUAGGAUCCCAUAAUUGUGUGAAUGUGAGAGUUGGACUUGGACAUAGUAAAUAAAGGUGACAUGGACAAUAGAGACAUUGAUUAGCAUAGAGAACAUAAUUGUUAAAUAUAGUUUAACCAAGAGUGGCAUUGAGACAGGAAUGACCUAGAGAGCGGCAUGAAUAAAUAGGUAGAAAACCUAUUAUGAUUGUGGCAUUUGUGGAAUUGUGGUUUAUGGCUAUACUUUCCCAAAUUGGGAAUUGGAUCAUACUCACAUUGAGUCUUGGCUUGAGGGCGGUAGGUCCCCCUCAAGCGGUGCAUUCCGGAAUUGUCACCACGGGAGCGCGGUUCCUAAAGACGGUCCCUCGGGUCUUGCAGUGCUUAGAGCCUCCCCGAUCAAAAGAGAUUUUGGGUUAUGAGUUCGAGGGGAACUGGGUGAACCUCGAUGCAAUUGGGUAAAAGCCAAGUGAAUGUACAUUAAGCGUUAUGAGCUAUAGAUUGAGUAUCCCUGUCGAGUGGAUUUGGGGCUGAGGUGUAUGUGAGACGUCCAUUACCUCGAGUCUGGUAUUGAUGCGGUAUUCCGCAGUUGAUUGACUCGAGACCGAGUCGGUUGGUUAGCUUGGCUAGGGUAGAGGAAAACCUUAGGAGCAAGUAACCAAUGAUUGUAAAGUGACAAGAUGUAUAAAAUUAUGGAAAAGCUAUGAAUAGCAUGAUAGAAAGUAAAAUCCUUCAUUCUACUUGUAUAGUUGCAUGAUUCGUAUAUAGCAUGGCAUUAUUGCAUUCGUGAGGCAAGGCAUGGUUUUAUUAGUUGCAUAAUAAAGAUAUAUAUAUCUAUCUGUUUAUUGAACUAACUUGCAGUUGCCUCCCUUGGACCUAUUGGUCGAGCUUUUCCCUUGGGUGGCCGUAUCCACUGGGAAUCAUGGAAUUGGUUCUCACCCCACAUUAUUUUGGGGUGUUACAGGUUCACACGUGAGCGGCGCGGCGGCGCGAGGCGAGGGCGUAACUCCAUAGUUAGCGCCCUACCACCGAGACCAGAGAUAGCGGUACCCUGAGUCGGCUUUACUUAGGGAUGUAAGAAAAUGAAAGGAAUAAGAUUGUAAUAAUUUGUAAUAAAAGCAUGAUUGUAUUUGAAAGUUAAAUGUAUAAUAAAAUUGUGAUGUAAAAUGUAUCUAAAUAAUGUGAAUGCUUGUAAUAGCAAGUAGAUUAUGUUUUUGAUACUUUCUUAUGCAAUCUUUGAUUGAAAUGUGUUCAUGGUUGGAACUUCGUACAUUGUAUUGAUUGCGACACCUUGAAUGUACAGAGGAGACUCUGUCCGCGGUACAGGAAAAACCCUGUCCGUUCGGCGGUCUGUUGCGACGCCGCGACCCAGCCAAAUAGGCGGGCGGUCGUGGGGCGUGACAGGAACCUUGUAUAGCUAAUUGUGGGGUUUUUGCCCUCGAAUUGUACUAUUUGGUGUGCGGCUGUCUCGAUACUCAAAAGUUAGUGUCCUGGUACAAAAUGGGAGUGUCAAGUGCUGUUCGAAGUGCUUCAGAUUACUCCGGGGUUGAAACAGACCCUAAAAUAUGAGCAAUCGAGAAAUUUUAGAUAUAGAAUCACAAAUUGUGUGAUGCGACUAUUUGUAGCAGUGUUUGGGCCUUAUAUGUUGGUCAUCCUUAAUAUCUUGUGUGUUCGGAGAUAGUAGGAGGGUUGAUGGUUGGUUCUAGAGUCGAAUUGGCAUGCCGUAGAUCCCAACGUAGUUCGGUUGAUGUUUUACAUACUUGUUUGCAUCACAUUUGUGUGUUGCUACCUAGGCACCCAAGUAGGUGUGCUUCAGGGCAGCGGAUGAUAUUUUGUGAGCUUUGUUACUCUUUGGGACAUUUCAUGGGAUUCGAAAGGGUUACAGUGUGUUGUCGGGUAUUUCCGGCAGGUUUCGAGAUUCAGUAAAGGUACCGAAUCUCAGUUGGUUUUCCGGGUUGUGUGAUAGGUAAUUUUAUGUCUCUUAGGGUUUGUUCAUAUCGAUUGUGAUUCUGUAGAUUUUUUAUAGGUCUAGGUAAUAUGUUGGAGCAUUGUUCGAGCUCGGUGCUCCACUAGAUUACAGGUGGGUACUUCGAUUCGAAGUCGGUCUAACGGGGCAGGCUCGGUGACUUCUUCUUUUUUUCCUUUUCUGUGGCUACAUAACUUAUCAUGAUUAUAUAUUCAGUAUCUUGCAUACUACUUGGUAUUCGUUGGUCUACUCUACUCUUGUUUCAUCUUGUAGCAUCAUGAUUGAUCUAGUUGUAAAGUAACAUUUUAGUGAUUGAUUAUCAUUGCAUGACUCCAUGAUCGGUGACAUUCAUACAUAGUGAUACGGUUAUAUAGACCUUAUAGGUUAGUGACACGGUGAUAUUCCUUCGGGAAUAUCAGACCUGGUUUGAUUCGAUAUGGUUGUAGAUUGUUGGUUCGGCUAUCUGCCGUUGUUGGCCGUUGAGCAUAUUGCAUCGAUCGCCAUAGCUUAUGAGUAUUUCAUGUACACCAGCGGUCUGAUCCACCGCAAGAGGAUAUUCUUUUCCAGAAAAUUAGUCGUACUUCUGACCCGUGAACUCUAGCGGCCUAUUGCUAGGGCCAUAUGCCAUUUAGAGCAGGCGUGGCAUUGCCUCAGGUUUUUAGACCAAUACGGCAGUUAAUUGGGUGUACUUGUACUAUUGAUUUUAGUUGACGCGUAGUUGUUUCUCCAUCUUCCUUUGUAGUUGCGGUUGUUCAUACUAUUGUUGCAGUUAUUUUCAGUUCAGUUAUCGUUGCUACCGCUCUAUUUUGACUGCUGAUUAUAGUUGUUCGUUACUUUAUUAUCUCACUUUACAGUAGUAGCUUGUUUUGUGAUUAUUGGUAGUUGUUAUUCAUUAUUAUUAUACCUGAAUUUGUUAUUACUAUUGUCAUUCCUUCCGUCUGCCGGUGUGUACAACUUACUAAUCGUCAGCUUACGAUACCUACUUGGAGGGGGAGACUUAUUUAUAUGCUCUCAGCCCCUAACUAUUUUUCAGGUAGCUCGGGUGAUGAGGGUCCAGACGGUGUGUGAGGACGAUUCUAGAUAGCGGUGUUUCGGAUUGGUCCCUUGUCGACAUCCACAUUCGUAGCCCUAGCUUAGUUCUCGAGUUUUGUUAUUAGUGUGGAUCUUUUCGUUGGUUUAGUAUGUAUCUACUAAUUAGAAAUAGUGAUUACAUGGUGGAUCUAAUCUUUGGUCAUCUGAUUUUUAUGCGGAUUAUUAGUUUUCCGCAAUUAUCUCCUUAUUAUAGUUAUUGUAUCUCUGUAUGAUUGUGGUGUGGUUGAUGUUUGUACUCUUGUGCUACACCGUGCACGUAUAGAAGAGGUCUAUGUGGUGGGUUUGUGUGCGCCAUGAGAGAUUUUUAAGGGUGUUAAAACAAAAAAUUAUGCGUUUUCCGCUUGUUUUUUCUUAAAAGGAUUCUCAAAAGAAUCCCGGGCGUGACAUUAUAAGUUUAUAACUAUAAUGUACAUAAGAGUAUUUUGAAAAAUUUUUAAUUAGUUAUAAUAUAAUUUUUUAAUCUUAAAAUUUUUAACAAUUAUAUAUUUUAAUUGAGUGAAAUAUUGUCUACCCGCUGCGAACCACAGUGUAACGCACUGGACCUUGCAAAUUGUGGGGUUCGAGUGAUUGAGUGCGUUCUGAACUUUUCCAGACUUUCUGGUAGGUCGUUGACUGUGUUCCGACCUAUGGUUCGAGUCCCGAGAAUUGUGGUUUAAAACCUUGCAUCAAAAUCCAAAAAUUUGGAUUUUUGGUCAGCUCUCGGAUAGCCUUCAGCAGGCCAUGUACCGGUACGAGUUCACUUGUUGUACCGGUACGGGGUUGAUGGCUGUACCGGUAUGGGCCCGCGUACCGGUACACAGACGGCUUUUCGGCCAAACCCGAGGCUCGGGUUUGCGUUUUCGUGGGUUGUGUACCGGUAUACAAACCCGUGUACCGGUACACAGUGCAGAUUGGGGCUGUUUCGUGGAGGGGUGUUUUUGCAAUUGUUGCAACACCUUUAUAAGUGACCCCAGCCCCCUUGGCUGCUCUCCUUGAGCUCUAAACAGGGAGAACAAGGUGAGUCUUCUCCUCUUGGUUUGAUCUCCAUUUUUUGGUGGUUUUUAUGGGUUUUGAUCUCUCUCCUUCUCUCCUUUUUGCUUUUUGCGGGUUUGCGACCAUUGGAGAAGCUUGAGAUCUUGGUGGGAGCUUAUUUGGAGAUCGUUUUACUACUUGCCAUUGUGCUCAUUCGCACAUGCUUGUGAGGGUCGCUCCCUACAAGCCGGCAUUCCGGAGAUAGCCAUCGCGAUUCAUAUUCGCCGUGCGGAAUUGAGCGCCGAAGUGGAUUGCCGCGGGACAGGCUUAUUCCUAGGGUGGGGAUGAUGACUACCACGGGGCCAUUAGGCUCGGCACCGGCCAGACAGCCUACGGAUGGAUUUUAGGGCCAUAGACAGCCUUCGGGUGGGUCUCUUCAGAUUUGACUUUGAGUAUUCAUUAUGACAUGUGGACAGAUGAUGACUUAGCGUACUACUUGGACAUUGACUAGAAUAGUAAACAACGAAACUUUACUAUUUCGCAUUGUGAACAUUAUGAUAGUUGGAGACUUUUACUUCAUGCAUAGUUGCUUCAUAUUUAUGCUAUUUAUGCUAAGUAGAGAUAUCAUGUUGUAGUAAGUUACAUUUUUACUUACCUUUCGCUUUUUUAUAUUUAUAGUCACUGACAUCUUUUGUAGCUUUGGGCCUUGUGGUGCAUUCACUGAAGUCAGUAAUUGCCCACUGGGAACUAUUUUUAAUAGUUCUCACGCCCUCGUUUUAUUGUUUACUUUUCAGAGCCUUCGGCACCGGCGGAGGCACGGGAUCGCGGCAAGGGGAUCGCUUAGUUAGCUAGUGAGGAGCGGUAUUUUGCCUAGGUGGUUUACUCUUUCUUUUGUAGUUGAGAGAGUGAGAGAUUUUUGUAUCCAUGUAUAGAGACCACCUAUAUAUCUACCUAUAGCACUUGUAUCUGGAAUUUUUUUGUAUCACUUUAUGAUUUAUUUAGUAGAUUUACAGUUUUAUCCUUAUCCCUUAUUGUAGCAUUUAGACAUUUAUUAUGCUCUGAUACUCCUAAAUGUCUUUUAUUAUUACUUUUAUUAUUGUUGUUUUUAGACGCCUUAUAUGUUGUAGACAUAUGGCGGGUCUGGGCACGCGCCGGGCGGGCUUCCGCUGGGUCCCGGGGCGUGACACACAGACCCUACACUAGUACAUAACGAAGAGGGACGGCAUACUUCUCUCACACGGUCCGAUCUCAUAGACCGUGUGCUGCGCUCAAGAUACGUGCCGUGUGUUUCACCUUUUGGGUUUUGAUUUCUGCUCUUUUUGAGCAGAAAACGAAACAAAAAAUUUUUCAAGAAUCCGUAAAAAAAAUUUUUAGAAAAAUUUUACAGACAACCAAAUAUUCGGAAAUUCGGGACAGUUUUAUAAGCAACCAAA